rnacentral:rRNA from 1 species
UACGUAGGGUGCAAGCGUUGUCCGGAUUUAUUGGGCGUAAAGAGCUCGUAGGCGGCUUGUCACGUCGGGUGUGAAAGCCCGGGGCUUAACCCCGGGUCUGCAUUCGAUACGGGCUAGCUAGAGUGUGGUAGGGGAGAUCGGAAUUCCUGGUGUAGCGGUGAAAUGCGCAGAUAUCAGGAGGAACACCGGUGGCGAAGGCGGGUCUCUGGGCCGAUACUGACGCUGAGACGCGAAAGCGUGGGGAGCGAACAGG